rnacentral:lncRNA from 1 species
AAGCAAGUCUUGAACAUAUAUUCAAUACACAGUACUAUAAGAACCAACCCAAAAUGACAGCCACAACAAGUACCAAAACCAAAGUGCAGUCUAUUACAAUCAAUAAUGAUAUCCAAAACAAGAAUCUCAACAAUUAACAUAUAGCAAUUACAAACAUGUUCAUGAAAACCAUUUGUGAACGCAACAUCUAAACAAGGUCAUAAUUGAGCUGUUUAUUACUUUUAUUGGCCGAAGAAUAGCAUUUGAUGACUGUGCAUGUAGUAUAUCUUUGCGGAGAUGGCGAACUUUGUCCUUGCGAUCUUCCUUGUUGAAUUGAUUCUAGUUGCUGAAUUCUUCGCUCCAUUUUUGACAUCACAGCACUUUGUUCCAUAACCAAGUGAAAACAUGUUGAACGACUUGGUAUAUCACCCCACAAAUCAGAUUGUGUAACUCUUAAACCAUAUGUACGAACUCUUCCACUCCUUUCUUCACCCAUUACUUUUGCAAACACGUCAUUCCUACCCAUACUAUCUUCUUCUCCUUCUGGAAGUUAAUUUUUUAAGCUUUCCAUCUCCUCCUAAAAUUAACAAUUCAAAGUUACUAUAUUCUCGUUCUUAUCGUAACAGAAAAAACCUGUUUAUGAAUGAAGUGAAUAAGCAGCAACAACAUACCAUUUCCCCAACUUCAUAACUAGAUGGCACUCCAUUAGAAUUAGUGUAGCAUAUGGUGAACAUAUCUGCUCUAGAGAGAGAAUGCCCAACCCAACCUCUUUUUCCUACAUGUAAUAGUACAUCUAACGAAUAUAUCAGAAUGAAAACUUAGAUAUUGUUACCAAUUUAUAUAUUAUACCUUUUCUACUCGAACUUGAGCAAAUGGCUUUUUCCCUGUACUAUGAGUAUAUCCCUUAAUAAAACCUUUACAUAUCAAGUGUGAUUUUGCCUGCUCUCUCGUGACAAAUACCCCAUUCCUAUACCUAAUACAUGGGCAUAAAAUCAUCUCCCCUAUACUUCCAUUCGUAAAUGCAAAAUCAAGAAAAUCUUCUAAACUAGCUUUAUACUCAUCACUUGAUCGUGACAUACUCAUCCAUCUUUUAUCCAUGUUCACAUAGAUUCUAAUUAUAUAUAUAUAUAUAUAUAUAUAUAUAUAUAUAUAUAUAUAUAUAUAUAUAUAUAUAUAAAAGAAAGCUUCAUUAGCAUCUACAAGAUAGUUCUACCUAAACUAUUACUGGUUUUUGCAUAAAACAUUUACUUAGAUAAGAAAACUAAUUUCAACGAGAUUAAUAGAAGACACAAAUCUCUCAUGGAAUAUCUUCUAAAGUAAAGAUACCAAAAGUAUCAAAACAGAAUGUUAGAACCAAUCCAAGUGUUCUGGACAUAUCAAAACAGAAUGUUCACAUAUCCAGGUGUUCUAGACAUUUGAGUAAUAAGAACUAAUCCAAAAGUAUCAAAACAGAAUGAUAUCAAAAGGAAAGAAAGCAAAAGUUCAAUUCUAGAUUGUAAGACACAAACUAUCGAACAGAUGGUAGGCACAAAAGAAUAACAGUCUAUGAAAUUCAAAAUUAGUCCAAUAAUGUAGUCAAUAUCAAUUUGAGAUAGAGAACUUAGACAAAAUAUUAGCAACCAAACUAAUCAGCAAUAGAAGUUCUACCCAAUUGAAAAUAACUGCCAUGAACUUUAAUGUAUUCGUAACCUAAGAGUAGCAGAAACUUAAUGUAUAAUUUUGGUUACCAACAACUCCAAUUUGCUCUAAGUGAAAAGGGAAUCAACGAUCAGUGCUCGCUAGAUGGAAUCGAAGAUGAUGGCCGCUACAAACUUGAAACUGCAUUGAUGGAAUAAGCUUGACUUAGUCACCACUUUUUUUUUAGUCACAAAAAAAAUAUUAUAUUAUGGAAAUGAAGCCUGAAGAGGCAGAACAAAAUGAUACAACAUGAUCCCGUAUAGUUGUGGUAUGCAUUAAGCAAAAGAUGAGUGACCACAAAUUACAAACAGUACAUCUAUCCUUCUGUAGUUCUCCAAAGUGUCUUAGACAAAGCAUCACACGUCUUUCUACUAAAAUGCCGCACUUAAGACCAACAUUGAGUUUCAUGAUCCUUGUAGACUAGUAACACUUUGACAGUGAAAAAAAUGUGAUGUAUAUGACAAUGAACCAUAGAGAUAUACUCAACAGAUCCGUAGAAAGAAUUGCAAGACCUGCCAACAAGUAGCAAUUUUUUUUCCCUUGGUUUGGUUUUUGGUGCUGCAAUUUUGAAAAAGGAAUUAGAAAAACACAGAUG